CUUUGCCAUCCACCCAGGCACAAUUUACUGAAAGCUCAGGGUUUGGAACAGUGUGACAUUUUGACCCUCAGCUGUGCAUCUUGAGUUGAAUUAAAGUAUCAUUUGGACAAAAGCCAGGUGGGAACUUAUAAACUGAAAUGCACGUCAUGCUCAGCACAUCCCAAGUCCUGCAGUACAGCUACACAAUGAUGUAUUUGCGAGGCUGACAUGAGGCUUGGGAGAUGGCCUCUAAUCAAACAGACAGUAAAGGCAUUGUGUUUCUCUGAGGCUGGUACAAGCUGACAUGUACUCCUGUCUCCAUAUAUGCUGUCCUUGCUCCAGAAAACUCUAGCAGCAGAAUACCUUGUGACUGAUCUCCUUUGAAUGUUAACAAGCAAAGAACAUGCCAUUAAUAAAAUCCAAAG
rnacentral:lncRNA from 1 species